CCGAGAGUUGUAGUCUAGUCUCUUCCUCCCCAGUGCUGUUGCCCGGGCAACGGUCCCCUCCGGCCUGGGUGCCAGGCCUGAGCGCGGCGGCGGCCACCGCGGAUGGACAGCGUGGGAGGAGAAUGGCUUUAGCAAGAAAAGCCAGCUACUCCGUGCAGGACAUGUUUGGUGACUUCAGCGAUAUUUCCUUAGAAGAUUCAAAAAUGGAAGCAAUCAGAAACUUACAUAUUGGCAGCAGUCUUACCAAAAUUACAGGCAAUCAGAGCAGGUUCCUGAAAAGAAACCAGACAGUGAGUGAGAGACACCUAUUCCCGAAAGAGAGCCCCGUCCUGGGGGUUGGGCCCAGGCCCUCCUCAGGCCGGAUCCUGACCACCGCCUCCCAGAUCCGGGCAAGCGCUGCACUGCUGAAGCUGGCCCAGAUAGAGACCAAGAUCAGGAGCCGCAAGGCACAGAGGAGUUUGUCCGAUGUGGAGUCUGACCUGAAGACCUCUGACACCAGCCUUCCAAAGGGGGGCGAUGAGGUCCCCACCAGGAGUGUAGCUGAACUUCCUUCACAGAACACGGACAAAACUUCCCAGAAAUAUGCCGGCAAAAUCCCCGCUGCUGAGAGCCAGGCACGAAGUGGGAAGGGCACGAGGUUCCUCAAGAAGAAAGAGCCGCCCACUGAAAAUAUCUGUCCUGAAGCACAUUUUGGGAAAAAAUUCAGUUUUUCGACACCCAAGGAGAAAGAACCUGCUAGAACAUUUGACUCUCCAGACAGCGACAAAGAGGAAAUGAAAAAGUUACUGGGAAGCCUGAUGGAGCCUUCGAGAGAAAAAGAAACACGUAUGAAUCAGGGUUUCACCAGCACUAAAGUCAGUGAGAAAAAGCAAAUGGAACUCUUCUCUUCGGAUCAGAUCCCAGCUCGGCCACGAGGUCUGUCUGUACCCAGCGAGGAGCUUCCCAGCCCAAAGCCAUUCUGGAAGCCACAUCCACCAACGUCACGGUCAGGCAGCAGGACCCCUCCCCACAUCGGUUCAAGAAUGUCCUCCCCACAGACUCCCGAUUCUGGUGGCCCAGCCUCCCGCACGUCAGUGCUCUCGGUCACAGGCACCUCAUCCAGGCACCCCAAACUCUCGUCUUCCCUCGGAAGGAGUAAGGCCAGGCCCUUGGAGGAGGAGUCGCUUUCCGAAACUACCGGUGACAGCCUCGAUUUUAGAAUCAAUAUUCUAUCCCUUGAUGACUUGGCUCCAGCCAUCAGUGAGAAGCUAGACCUGGAACAGGAAGGAGAAGGUGCUUGGCGGGAAAAGCCAUCUAGCCCAGGCUCACGGGCAGAAGGGCCUGCUAGGCAGGGGUUGCCAAGACACGUCCAGGCCUGGAGCACGGCGUUCUCAGACAGUGAGGAGGGCCCCGCCAUCGAAAGCGAGGUCUCCGAGCGUCUGAGCGCCGGGCAGGGGGGUGCGUCCAGCCAGCCACCAUUGUCCCGAGACCCCUCGGCAAGCAGUGUGAGCUCGGCAUCUUUGGAUGGCCAGGAGGACCUCCCCACCGUGAGCUCAGCCUACUCAGAUGACUUUGAGGCAUCGCCAGGCCUGACUACCUCCGAGCCCACAGGCUGUUCUGAGGCGUCUCUUGACAGGACAUCAGAGGCUCUGUCAGAAUCCUCUUCAAGCCAGGAAAGGGACCGUCCCCCACAAGCCCCCAAGACCAGCAGAAAGCGGGGCCAGGAUGUGACAAGAGUGAUUGUGAAGGAGAUGGCUGUGCAGACCCCUGAUCCUGCCUUCACCUACUGGUGGGCCGAGGCGGCCAGUGUGGCAGCCAUCAGCCCUGCCCUUGGAAGCGCCUAUGUGGACCCCACGCCCAUCGCCAGUCACGUGGUCAGCGCAGACGCGAUAGAAGCCCUGACAGCCCACAGCCCAGCCGUGUUUGCGCUGAAUGACCUGCUGAGGCAGCAGCUGGCCCUGACGCAGCAGUUCCUGGAGGCCAACCGGCACCUGCACACCUCGCUCCUGGCGUCGCUGGACCAGGACACGUUCCACUACCACACCUUGGAGGAGGCCAAAGAGUACAUCCGGCGCCACAAGCCGGCUCCACUGUCCCUGAAGGAUGCCCUGGAGAAGGUACAGAAGGAGCCAUGAGCACAAGGUCUGUGGGGACAGCCCAGGUGGACCUCAGCCACCAUGCCCAGAGACCUGGGGAAGACACCGGGCUAGGGUGUUUACAUGCAGGGACACCUGUGCAAAGAUGCCAGGGCAGAGCCUUCAACCUCAAACUCCACCGCACAGAACCCGCCUGCUCAUCUGCCUGAACACACUUCAGAAAAACACGCAGGGUUUAAAAAGGGUCGUCCAGCGCCACACCCACGCCCUUGUACUGGUCCCACUUGUCCCGCACGUCGCCGCCCUUGAUGGGGUCCUGGAUGCCCUGCUCCUUCACGCCGAGGCCACCGGA